GAAAAGGUAACCCCGUGAAUUUGAGGGGGCGGAGAUUUUUUCCCUGUGGCCGUUGAGGAGGCGCCAUGACGGAGCCGAAGGGCGCAAAGUUGUGGUUGUGCGAUGUGAAGGGAUUAACAUAUCUGGCAACUUCUACCGCAACAAAUGUAAGUAAAACUGAGGCUUCCAAACCUUUCAGAAUAAUUUGAGGCAGACAGUUUUUUCAAGC
rnacentral:lncRNA from 1 species